AUUGAACGCUGGCGGCAUGCCUUACACAUGCAAGUCGAACGGCAGCACGGGUGCUUGCACCUGGUGGCGAGUGGCGAACAGGUGAGUAAUACAUCGGAACGUACCUUAUCGUGGGGGAUAACGCAGCGAAAGCUGUGCUAAUACCGCAUACGCCCUGAGGGGGAAAGCGGGGGAUCGCAAGACCUCGCGCGAUUAGAGCGGCCGAUGCCUGAUUAGCUAGUUGGUGGGGUAAAAGCCCACCAAGGCGACGAUCAGUAGCUGGUCUGAGAGGACGAUCAGCCACACUGGGACUGAGACACGGCCCAGACUCCUACGGGAGGCAGCAGUGGGGAAUUUUGGACAAUGGGGGCAACCCUGAUCCAGCAAUGCCGCGUGAGUGAAGAAGGCCUUCGGGUUGUAAAGCUCUUUUGUCAGGGAAGAAACGCCGGCUCUAACACAGUCCGGGAAUGACGGUACCUGAAGAAUAAGCACCGGCUAACUACGUGCCAGCAGCCGCCGUAA
rnacentral:rRNA from 1 species